UGUGAGUUCACCUUUUGUAGUCCAUAUGCACUUACAUAACCAACAGAUAUAGUGACCUGUUGAAACAUUAAUAUUCCUUGUCAAAAGCUCCAAAGCAAAGAAAAUCAACAGUCGAUUGUGAGGUCUAUAUGGAAUCAAAUAACUCCCAUAAACUAAGAAAGGCAGAGUAAAACAUCAGUCUGGGAUUCAAAAAACGAACCCUUGAGUCGUAUCCACACCAUAUGGUACACAAUUCCUCUCACGUAAGGUGAGGCUUGUGCAUAUAUACUCAACUUCAUCAUGGGAACGUGUCUGCUUGUGUACAAAAUAAUAAAGAACCAAUCGAAUCCUACACAAUGAUAAAUGCCUGUUUAUUAUUCUUAUAAAACAUUAUUUUACUUACUGGAUAAUUACACGAGAAAACAUGGAAUAAGUACAGCUAGCUCUGUAAUUGUAAAGGAAAUAAGUUGAGUUCUGUAUGUACUGGAAAAAUUAUACAGAUUUAUCUGUCUUUUUAAUGCGGGUUUUACGGAUAAAAGGACAACACUUGUACAAUCAAUCAAAAGUUAGAUGACUGCAUACACGCCCCAUACUACAGACUGUGCUGUCUAGUUUGCAGUUUGCACAUCAAGAUAGACCUAAUCAUGGCAUGGAACUAACAAAAGCUAGCGGCAGAUAAUACAAAACUGUUACUUCCAAACUUCACCCUCGUUCAUUACAGACUUACAGUCACACACCAAUUUCAGUUCAAGAUGAGCUUCCACAUCGCAGCCUGAUCGAAAAAUAAAUUCUACAGAGGGAAGAAGGGGGCAAAGGGAAUCGUGCGUGCUUACAGGUGAACUGCAACUUGCGGGACUGGGUCUCGACGACGCCCUACCUCAUGGCCACCACGAAGAGGAUCAGAUGCUGGUGAUGGUCCAAUUCAAGGCCAUGUAUCUCUGGGCGUCCCUCUCAGGCAGCCGCCGGUGCAAGAACCCGGUCAACAUCUCGGAGGCCCCCAUGGAAAGAGCCGCGGCAGUCCUCCUCGACGGUUGGGAAAGAGGAUGCCGGGACAUAGCCUCCGCUGCUGCUCCGAGACGGAAUCAUGAUGCGGUGAUGGACACGCGGACAGAACGG
rnacentral:lncRNA from 1 species